UACGAAGGGGGCUAGCGUUGCUCGGAAUCACUGGGCGUAAAGGGUGCGUAGGCGGGUCUUUAAGUCAGGGGUGAAAUCCUGGAGCUCAACUCCGGAACUGCCUUUGAUACUGAAGAUCUUGAGUUCGGGAGAGGUGAGUGGAACUGCGAGUGUAGAGGUGAAAUUCGUAGAUAUUCGCAAGAACACCAGUGGCGAAGGCGACUCACUGGCCCGAUACUGACGCUGAGGCACGAAAGCGUGGGGAGCAAACAGG
rnacentral:rRNA from 1 species